rnacentral:lncRNA from 1 species
CCGAUAGGAUGCAACCGUGGGGCCUUCUUCGGUUCUGGUGAGUCCCUGGUCUCCCUGCUCUCUUCAUGUGCCCUGAGAUGGUCCGGUCAUUGAGCCGCCAAUUUACUGUCCAGUCUGUCAGUUUUAGCUUUCUCAGUCUAUCACUUUCCUUGCUAUCAAUUAGUGUGUGUUGCAUUAUGCACUACUCCCUCCGUUACUAAAUAUAAGUCUUUGUACCGAUUUCACUAGUGGACUACAUAUGAAUGUAUAUAGAUAUAUUUUAAAGUGUACAUUCAAUCAUUUUGGUCCGUAUGUAGACAUCUAGUGAAAUCGCUUAAAAGACUUAUAUUUAGGAAGGGAGGAAGUACUUAUUUUAGGAUGGACUCCUGGUCUGCUUAACGUAGUUUCUCCUAUUGCUGCAGGAUGCAAUCACGUUGUACCCUGGUCUUAUUUUAAGCCAGAAAGUGCAAUAUCUCUUGUAAUGGACCCUUUUUUUCUUUUCUUCAGUCCUUGAUGACGCUCUCUACCAUGUGGCCUACAACAUCAACCUUGAGUCAUGACGAACAUCUAAUUCUACAUGGAGAAGUCCAAUUACAAGGUACAUACAUAAACCAACCUUUGCUUGUUCUAACAAAUAUAUGUACUCUCAUCAGUCAGUUUGCAGGGGGGAGAACAACUGGGGUUUUUCAUUAUUAUUAUUUUGGAAAAGGAGGUUAAGACCUCCGACCUCUGCAUCAAUCGAUGCAUACAACCAUCUUUAUUACUUAUUCAACAAAGGUCUAACAAAAACAUAUAUCAAGCCACCCGAAGCCCCCACUCACACCUACAAAACGCGAUAAUCUGGAAUGCUCUCACUCCCCAUAUCUAAAAUCGGUGUCGUCGCCGAUCCAUCCACAUAACGUAUCGAAACUAACAACUGAUGCAGCAGACCUAAAGCAUACACCACACGCACACGUUUUAGAAGCCGCCAUCAUCAUCGAACCGUUGACCCAUCUUCAGAAGAGAAAUCCGCAUCAUCCAUGCCAGUCCGGCCAUCCGUCGACGCCACCACUACACCCAACGGUGCCACCUCCCUGCGCUCAUCCAUCCACACGCGAAGACUCUGUAAGAUCUGUCGUGCGUAGCACCUGCCGAACAGGCAUGACAAAGAGUAGCACCUGUCCGCCAGGCAUGACCUAACAUCAUCACCGAAGCUCCGUGCAGGACGAAGACGCUCCACCUCCUGCCUCUGUCUUCCAGCGCUUCUCCACAAACGAUGCUCCCUAGAGAGGAAUGACACCGCAAUGUCGUUAUCGUCUGAUCUGGAAACCAGAUCCUAGGGUUUCCCCUGGAGCAGCACGAGUGGAUCGACCUCCCUGCGCUCAUCCAUCCAGACGCAAAGACUCGUAAGAUCUGUCGUGCGUAGCACCUUCCGAACAGGCAUGACAAAGCGUAGCACCUGUCGGCCAGGCAUGACCUGACAUCACCAUCGAAGCUCCGUGCAGGACGAAGACGCUCCACCUCCUGCCUCUGUCUUCCAGCGCUGCUCCACAAACGAUGCUCCCUAGAGAGGAAUGACACCGCAAUGCCGCCAUCGUCCGAUCUGGAAAACCAGAUCCUAGGGUUUCUCUUGGAGCAGCACGAGUGGAUCAACAGUAGUUACAGGAGGAAGCCUUCAUCAAGGUAACGGCGCAGAACGUCACCAUCGUCCGAUGUCGGCUCGGUUUUCACCGGCAACUAUGUCUCCCCGACUCGCAGUGAGUAUCGAAUCCUGCGACGAGCCCAGUCACGGGAUUCCAAAAUCCGCCGUCACCGGUGCCGCCACAAAGACCCACCACUUGGCCCGUCAUCCCCGGCGGAGGGGACACUGCCACCAUCAUGGUCGGAUCCGGGUUAGCCGUCGUCGUCGCCACCGCCAAGACCGGAUCAGGGCUGAACGCCGCCGCUGCCACCGCCACCGGCCACACCCAGCUCCACCUUCAUAUUCUAGCCACGUCCAACCGACCGGCACGCCACGCCCAGCCAAUCUCCACCCGCGCCGCCACGCGUCGCUGUGCCUUGGAUCCGCAUGACGUCGUCGCCAAAGCCGCCGUCCCACGCCGCACGACAUCGAACGAGGAGAAGGGAAAUCCCGACCGCCGCCUACGCCGACCGGAUCGGCGGCGCCGGCCAGGCUUUGCCCAACCGCGUCCUUAGGCGGCGGCGAGGAAGGAGGGAGGGAGAGGAGGCUGCUGGAGGUGGCGGGCUGGGGAGCCCUCCCCGUCGUUUGAUUCUGUAUGGCUUAGAUUAUAUGUCCGAGAAGCUCAACAUCCACAAGAGUGGAUCUCUGCAUCCUUCUCCUCUACAAGCACCACAGACCACGAAGUUGUGUGCUGACAGUUCUUCUUCCACCCUUACGCGUUCCGCCCUGCCCCUUCGGUGCCUCAUUAUUCUCCCACUCUAGCAUAGGUGGUAAGCCAUUGGUUCCUCUCUCCUGUGUGUGUGUGUUUGAUGCUAUGUAUAUAUAAUUUGAUGUUGUUUGGAUUAAUGGUUCCACUGCUACUGAAUGAAUCGAGAGAAUUAUGGGCAUGUACCUAUUCAUUUUUAAAAACCUUUCAAUUAUGCAUGGAAACUAUCAAAUUGUGGGCAUGUACGUGUUUAUUUACCAAACCUUGCAAAUAUGAAUGGACUAACCAAUGGGAAGAUAGUUUUGUGGGACCAACCAUAUGAUUGCUUUAGAUAAUAGUAAUUCAGGUAAAGGUUCUUUUAUGUGCAAAAUAUAAAAUGGACAAUUCACCUUCUCUAGUAGUUUGGGGAUGUCAACACCUACAGUUUUCUUCAUAUGCCAACAAUUUUAUAUUGGAUACAUUCAUAUAUUGGGUAAAUGCAACUAAAUAUCAUCAUGAAAAUUUGAGGUGCUCACAAAAUUUUACUAGAUUAGUUUUUCAUGCCAGAUUCGGAUUCAACCAAGUGAGGAUUCCAACUUGGUCACAUAAUAAGAAAACGCCUUGCCGUCCUCUUCUACCAAAAGCACAUCACCUCUUUAGCUCUUGCCUGUUUCCCGGUAUAAGAACAUUCUUAAAACCAUUUCUUGGAGAAAAUACAUUUUAAUUUGAUUGUGGCAUUUAAAUUGUUUAGGUUGAAAUUUUCUCUUAGUUUAUGGUGGCAUUUCAAAUACUGAUUCUUGCCAAUAUUAUAUCAUCGCAGAUUACAUAACCAAAUUCUGCAUUAUCUCAGUACCUUUGUAUUCAUGAUUUGCACUUCUCUAUGUCUUGAUUCCUCCAUUUCAGGUGAUGCUUCAUGCCGGAUUGGAUACUUUCUUAGUAUUUCAUAAUGUUUGAGCUUUAACUUGCCGUUUGGAGGAGCCUUGUUCAAUGACUGGUUAGCAUGUUGUUGUGACCCUGGUUGAAUAUGUAUGCAUAUGUGGACUUCGAACUCAUGGCCCUUUCGUUAGUGAACUCUUGUUACAUAUGUAGACAUGUUAUUGUAAACCUUUGUUGGAUAUGUAUAGAUGUGUG